UCAAGCGAAUAAGCGCACACGGUGGAUGCCUUGGCGGUCAGAGGCGAUGAAGGACGUGGCAGCCUGCGAAAAGUAUCGGGGAGCUGGCAACAAGCUUUGAUCCGGUAAUGUCCGAAUGGGGAAACCCACCCGCUUGCGGGUAUCCUGCAGUGAAUACAUAGCUGCUGGAAGCGAACCUGGUGAACUGAAAUAUCUAAGUAACCAGAGGAAAAGAAAUCAACCGAGAUUCCGUAAGUAGCGACGAGCGAACGCGGACUAGCCCUUAAGCUGAUUUGGUUCUAGGAAAACGCUCUGGAAAGAGCGGCCAUAGAAGGUGAUAGCCCUGUAUCUGAAAGGGCCAUUUCAGUGAAGACGAGUAGGGCGGGGCACGUGAAACCCUGUCUGAACAUGGGGGGACCAUCCUCCAAGGCUAAAUACUACUGACCGACCGAUAGUGAACCAGUACCGUGAGGGAAAGGCGAAAAGAACCCCGGAGAGGGGAGUGAAAUAGAACCUGAAACCGUGUGCGUACAAGCAGUAGGAGCUCCGCAAGGAGUGACUGCGUACCUUUUGUAUAAUGGGUCAGCGACUUACUGUUCGUGGCAAGCUUAACCGUAUAGGGGAGGCGAAGGGAAACCGAGUCUGAUAAGGGCGCAUAGUCGCGGGCAGUAGACCCGAAACCGGGUGAUCUAGUCAUGCCCAGGGUGAAGGUGCGGUAACACGCACUGGAGGCCCGAACCCACUCCCGUUGCAAAGGUAGGGGAUGAGGUGUGAUUAGGAGUGAAAAGCUAAUCGAACCCGGAGAUAGCUGGUUCUCCUCGAAAGCUAUUUAGGUAGCGCCUCAUAUGUAUCCUCUCGGGGGUAGAGCACUGUUAUGGCUAGGGGGUCAUCGCGACUUACCAAACCAUUGCAAACUCCGAAUACCGAGACGGACUGUAUGGGAGACACACGGCGGGUGCUAACGUCCGUCGUGAAAAGGGAAACAACCCAGACCCACAGCUAAGGUCCCAAAUUUUGUGCUAAGUGGAAAACCAUGUGGAAAGGCACAGACAGCCAGGAGGUUGGCUUAGAAGCAGCCACCCUUUAAAGAAAGCGUAAUAGCUCACUGGUCGAGUCGGUCUGCGGGGAAGAUUUAACGGGGCUAAGCACAGAACCGAAGCUUGGGGUGCAUACUUUGUAUGCGCGGUAGAGGAGCGUUCCGUAAGCCGUUGAAGGUGGAUUGAGAAGUCUGCUGGAGGUAUCGGAAGUGCGAAUGCUGACAUGAGUAACGAUAAUGCGGGUGAAAAACCCGCACGCCGAAAGCCCAAGGUUUCCUUGCGCAACGUUAAUCGGCGCAGGGUGAGUCGGCCCCUAAGGCGAGGACGAAAGUCGUAGUCGAUGGGAAGCAGGUUAAUAUUCCUGCACCUCGCGUAAGUGCGAUGGAGGGACGGAGAAGGUUAGGUGUACCAGGCGUUGGUUGUCCUGGGGAAAGGCGGUAGGUUUGGAUCUUUGGCAAAUCCGGGAUCCUNUAAGACCGAGCACCGAGACGAGCCUUUAUGGCGAAGUCACUGAUACCACGCUUCCAGGAAAAGCUCCUAAGCUUCAGCUUACGCAGACCGUACCGUAAACCGACACAGGUGGGUAGGAUGAGAAUUCUCAGGCGCUUGAGAGAACUCGGGUGAAGGAACUAGGCAACAUGGCACCGUAACUUCGGGAGAAGGUGCACCCUUUUUGGUGGCUCGUGCGAGCUAUAGCUGAAGAGGGUCGCAGUAACCAGGCCGCUGCGACUGUUUAUCAAAAACACAGCACUCUGCAAACACGAAAGUGGACGUAUAGGGUGUGACGCCUGCCCGGUGCUGGAAGGUUAAUUGAUGGGGUCAGCCGCAAGGCGAAGCUCUUGAUCGAAGCCCCAGUAAACGGCGGCCGUAACUAUAACGGUCCUAAGGUAGCGAAAUUCCUUGUCGGGUAAGUUCCGACCUGCACGAAUGGCGUAACGACAGCGGCGCUGUCUCCACCCGAGACUCAGUGAAAUUGAAAUCGCUGUGAAGAUGCAGCGUUCCCGUGGCAAGACGGAAAGACCCCGUGAACCUUUACUAUAGCUUUACACUGAACGUUGAGUUCGUCUGUGUAGGAUAGGUGGGAGGCUAUGAAACNNUGGCGCUAGCUGUGGCGGAGCCAUCCUUGAAAUACCACCCUGUCGUGCUUGACGUUCUAACCUGGGCCCAUUAUCUGGGUCGGGGACCGUGUAUGGUGGGUAGUUUGACUGGGGCGGUCUCCUCCUAAAGAGUAACGGAGGAGCUCGAAGGUACGCUCAGCGCGGUCGGACAUCGCGCACUGUGUGCAAAGGCAUAAGCGUGCUUGACUGCAAGAUCGACGGAUCAAGCAGGUAGGAAACUAGGACUUAGUGAUCCGGUGGUUCUGUAUGGAAGGGCCAUCGCUCAACGGAUAAAAGGUACUCCGGGGAUAACAGGCUGAUACCGCCCAAGAGUUCAUAUCGACGGCGGUGUUUGGCACCUCGAUGUCGGCUCAUCACAUCCUGGGGCUGUAGUCGGUCCCAAGGGUAUGGCUGUUCGCCAUUUAAAGUGGUACGCGAGCUGGGUUCAGAACGUCGUGAGACAGUUCGGUCCCUAUCUGCCAUGGGCGUUGGAGAUUUGAGAGGGGCUGCUCCUAGUACGAGAGGACCGGAGUGGACGAACCUCUGGUGUUCCGGUUGUCACGCCAGUGGCAUUGCCGGGUAGCUAUGUUCGGAAGCGAUAACCGCUGAAAGCAUCUAAGCGGGAAGCGCGCCUCAAGAUGAGAUCUCCCGGGGCACAAGCCCCCUGAAGGAACCAUGUAGACUACGUGGUUGAUAGGUCAGGUGUGUAAGUACAGCAAUGUAUUGAGCUAACUGAUACUAAUGAUCCGUGCGGCUUGACCA
rnacentral:rRNA from 1 species